UAAAGUUAAGAGGACAUUGUAGUUUGAAGGUAAGUUUGAGGGACAUAGAGGUGUAGUUUAUUAAAAAAAAAGAAAAAAGAAAAAGGGAUAUGGGACAAGGACAAUUAAGGAAUACAAUAUUGAUAAUGGAGGUAAGUUGUGGUAAGGAGUAGUAGUGUGAAGGGCUGAGCUCUUAAGUAUUGCGUGGUCUGCCUGUUCAACAUUCAUACAUAUUAUCUCUCUCACUUUCCCGGCCCCCCUCCUUCCCUCUCCUACUCUAAACACUUGUGCCUAUUGGCUUUCUUAGCCACUCAACCCAAGGAAGUUGCUCUUUUUCUUUCAGAGUAUAUAUAUAUAAUUGCAGGGUUUAGCGAUGGUGAUGAUGGGGUUGGAAAGGUUGAUGGUGAGUUUGAAGUCAAAAAUAAAGUCGUUGAAGAUGAAGAAGCCUUACGAUAAGAUCGAAAAGAGUGACAGCAUGAGAGUUGAGAUCAGAAGCAGGAAGGCUCAGAAGCUUAUUAAUGAGACCCUCAAAAUUGCUGAUUCCCCCAACACCAGGACUCUACCUGCUUUCUGAUCACUCUUUCUCAGUUUCUCUCAUCCAUCAAUAACAACAAACCUCCUCAUAUUAUUCUCUUCUUUUCUUUUUUUUCUUUUUUAUAUGUUAACCAUACGAGAUGGUAUACGUACGGAUUUUCCUUUUUCUUUUUU